rnacentral:rRNA from 1 species
UGCCAGCAGCCGCGGUAAUACAGAGGGUGCAAGCGUUAAUCGGAAUUACUGGGCGUAAAGGGUGUGUAGGUGGUUUGUUGAGUUCACUGUGAAAGUUCUAGGCUUAACCUGGAAAAGUCGGUGAAGACGGACAAACUAGAGAACAGGAGAGGGCAGAGGAAUUUCCGGAGUAGCGGUGAAAUGCGUAGAUACCGGAAGGAACACCAGUGGCGAAGGCGUCUGUCUGGUCUGUUUCUGACACUGAAACACGAAGGCGUGGGUAGCAAACAGGAUUAGAUA